AAUAGGCAUAUGUCAUUUCAAAACACACUGGUCUUCAGGAGCGCCAAAGAAGUCUGAUGACUCACAGACUCUGGAUCGAUCUUUUACAGGUACGAAAGUGUUGUGUUGAGAAACAUACAAUAGUUGAUGUUCAGUUCAUAGUAAUUGCUAAGUAUGACACAUUAAUGUGGAACUGCACCACUAGGGGCUCUAGUGAGGAAUUGUGUUUAGUAAUGUGACGAAGAAGAAUAAAGUUGAGGAUGUGAGUUGUACACCGCGUGGAGUGUGUUCUGUUAAAGUGUAAAAACACCACAAAUUGGCGACGAGAAUGAGCGCUUCAGUGCCGAGCCCACCCCCGUUUCUUCCUGUUAGUGGGGAGCCACCGAUUCCAUUUGAAACGUGGCAGAAAAUCUUUCAUAAUUACAUGAUAGUCAUCCAGGCAACCGGAGAUGCAUGGCCGGAGGUACGCAGACGAGCGGUCUUGCUGCAUUGCUUGGGGACGGAAGGCCAGCGCCUGUUUUAUACUCUGCCAGACCAAGGUACUACUUUUGAUGAGGCAAUGGCUGCACUUCAGAAACACUUUGUGCCUAAAGUUAACGUAGUUGCAUGCCGACACACGUUCAGACAACGUGUGCAAAGAGCAGAUGAAACUGUUACGCAAUACGUUGCCGCUUUAAGAGCGUUAGCAGCCCCAUGUGCGUUCGGGGAAAUGGAGAGUGAAAUGCUCCGUGAUCAGCUGAUCGCAAAUGCGUCGUUGACUGCAGUAAAGGACAAAUUGCUGUUAGAGGAUGACCUCACUCUAGAGAAAGCGAUUACAAUCGCAUGUCAAGUGGAAGCUGCAGUUAAAAAUUCGUCAUUGCUCUGUAAUUCCACUGCUACUGCCAUGAAGUCGGUACAAGCAAUUAGUAUGGAUACUAAGUAUGGCAGAGGGGGAAAGGGCGCACGUUCAGCUAAGCAGUCACAAGUUGCUCAGAGACGAUCGGAGGAUCGAAAACAAACAACGACUGGUCAGCAACAUCGGCAAUGCUUUAGAUGUGGAUCGGACAAACAUCUGGCAAAUGAUAAAAACUGCCCUGCUGCUAAAGUGACAUGCAGAGAUUGUCGGAAAAGAGGACACUUUGCUAGAGUGUGUAAAGCAGCAGUGAGUGAAGUAAGAGAGGUGGUAGUUCCAGACGUGACUGUGCUUUGUGUGGAAAACGUAAAAAAAUCUGUCACAGCCAAUGAUAAGAUCACCUGUGAAGUGAAUAUUGAAGCACCAAGAGGUCAUAAACAUAAGUUACAACUGGUUGUAGAUACGGGCACAUCAGUUUCCAUACUUCCAGAAGAUCUGUAUAAGAAACACUUCUCACAAUGCACCCUGAGUAAGCCUGAAAUUAAACUUGUCACUUAUGCAAAAGAGAACCUACCAGUUAUUGGCUGCUUAUCAGCAUUAGUGGGUGUUUCAGAAAAUGACAAUGUAGUUCCAGCUACUUUUUAUGUAGUGACUGCAGGAUCUCCCUUGUUAGGGUUGGAUUUGAUAAGAUGGCUGAACCUGAACAUUGUAAGCGGGAAAGUAAAGAACAUAGACGAUGAAUGUGGAAUCUCAGCUGCACCUCUUCAUAUGACUCAGGAUUGCACAAGUCCCAUGUACACAUUAUCACCUGUAUCUGCUACUCACCUGGGAUGUGUGAAAGGAUUCAUCCACAAAGUGCAAGUUAAUUCAACAGUGACACCAGUACGUCAAAAAUUGAGACGCUUGCCUCUCAGCAUCCGCAAGGAGGUGUCCACUGAGCU
rnacentral:lncRNA from 1 species